GACGAACGCUGGCGGCGUGCUUAACACAUGCAAGUCGAACGGAAAGGCCCUUCGGGGUACUCGAGUGGCGAACGGGUGAGUAACACGUUGGUGAUCUGCCCUGCACUUUGGGAUAAGCCUGGGAAACUGGGUCUACUACCGAAUAGGACCGCGCGCUUCAUGGUGUGUGGUGGAAAGCUUUUGCGGUGUGGGCUGGGCCCGCGGCCUAUCAGCUUGUUGGUGGGGUAAUGGCCUACCAAGGCGACGACUGGUAGCCGGCCUGAGAGGGUGACCGGCCACACUGGGACUGAGAGACGGCCCAGACUCCUACGGGAGGCAGCAGUGGGAAACAUUACAGAACAGGCGCAAGCCUGAUGCAGCGACCCCGCGUGCGGGAUGACGUCCUACGGGUUGUAAACCUCUUUCACCAUGGACGAAGCGGAAGUGACGGUACCUGGAGAAGAAGCCCCGGCCAACUACGUG
rnacentral:rRNA from 1 species